GUGCUCAUUUCAGCAGCACAUAUACUAAAGCUGGACCAAUACAGAGGAAACUAGAAUAGCCCCUUUACACAGUAGGCUUAUAGGAAAUUCUCAAAAUAUGU
rnacentral:snRNA from 1 species